rnacentral:pre_miRNA from 1 species
UUGUAACAAGGGCCGGUGCCAAAGGGUCCUUCCCAACGGCUACUGACAGGUGCUGUCGGAGCAGGAACCCUUUAGCACCGGUUUGCGUUACCAA